AAGAGAAGAAUUAUUUCUUGGCUUAUUAAGAUACAUGUAGAAUUCACAAAGAAUUAUAAAGGGUAAUCCAAUAUUCAACACACAGAAGAAUUGUUACCGAGGAGAAGUUUAGCGUAACAGUUCCUUCGAGUCUGUAACCCUGUAAAUAGAAAUAUUAGAUGUGAGAGAGAAAAAAACGACUAGCGGAUUUAUGAUUUCCAUAGAGCUGAAUUGCCAUAAGAUAAUUAUGAUAAACCGGAAGUGAAAUCUGAAUGGUAUGUGAGAUGCAGAUUAAUGGUGGAUGGGGUAUAUGUUUACUAAUUGGCUUCUUCGUUAAAUUCGUUGUAUCCUUGAAGUGUUACCACUGUAAUAAUCUGGAGAAUCCAGCUUGUGGCAUGUACUUUAAACCAUACCAGUUUACUGCCCAGCCUUGCAGUGGAGAAGAGGAAAACGUUAAGUGUGCCCUUCAACGAGAACUUCCCAAAGGAAGAGAACAUUGGGUAGGAAUUAUUCGAAGCUGUUAUAGGAUCGGAAGUCUUAAUGUGAACGAAACAAACGGUUGUCAUGAAAUGAAUAUCACAGGACAUACAGCAAAACUGUGCUUAUGUGAUACAGACUACUGUAACCACGCAACUGGCACGUGUUGGUCUUACGUCAGCAUUACAUCAGCGAUCUCAUUGGUCAUCUCAUUAAUGUAUAAUUUGUAACUGUGUUUAGAAGAGGAAUCACUUCUUACAUUUAAUACAUUGCAUUUUAUAAUUAUUUUUUACACACGUAACAAAUUGAAUCUCUCUACACGUACUACAUGUAUUUGUAUUUUUCUUCCUUUAAAAACAUCACAGAGUUUACAAGUGGCUUCACUUCGCCGAUGUAUUUCUUGAAUGCAUUUUUGUUGUUUUCUGUUGUUUUUUGUAUUUUCAUCAUGUUAAAUUUGUACCAGGAAGAAAAAAAUAACAAAUCUUUUAAGGUAAGCAGUUUAUUAUCUGACAUGGUAUAUGUUUUGUUUGAGGUAAUAUAUAAUACUGAAAUAAGACUAUCUUAAUGAUAAUACACAGUUGUUCCUCUGUUAUUAUUCUCAACAGUUGUCAGAUCAAAUGAUUCAUUUCUGAAUUUGAUCUCUUAAACCAGCCAAAAUAUACCUACCAUAAUGAUUUAUUAUACACACUUUAUAUUCACUUACUUUCCAUUUUGUCUAUAAGUUAACUGUUUGUUUCAUAUGAUCAGAUAAUGAAAGCAUUGGGUGCCAUGAAGAGUAUCUCAAGUUACAUAUAAUAUAAUGCAUUAUUUUUCUCUAUUAAUCAAGCUUCCUUUUCUUCAGAUGUUUUUAGAGGCGCCAGGGGACAGGAGCCCCACCCUCCCCGGUUAAGAUCUCUAGCUUUUUCGAUGUUUCAUAUUUUUUAACAUAUUUAAACAAACAUUUUACACACUAUUCCUUUAUUACCCCCCUCUAUUUAGAGAAAAGAGUGAAAUUUCAAAAGAUUUUUAAAUUGUUUGUUUUCGGGCAUUAUUAACAAAGUAGAGUGUGUACUUAUUUCUUAUUUUUGAAUGAGAUAUCAAAUUCUUAAAUACAAUAUCAUAAUGGAUAUAACAAACAGGCAGUAUUCAAACUCAAAAGUCUAUUAAACAAACAUAUUUUGAAGGAGAGCAACCUCUAAAUCAUCGGUGGUGAGAUCAGGUGUCAUGGAAGAGUGAACAUGCCCUGCCGACCAGUCACACCUGUCAUGAUAGGGAAAUAUAACGGGAAAAUCUGUCGACAAUUCAAUGUGCAGAUAAUUAGAAUGAAAAACGUCAGUCAUUUGACUUAAUGAUAAAUUAUAUUUGUAGACAAGGUCAUUUGUAACCAGUUAGAGCUUACAAAAUGAUGUCUUUAAACGAGACAACUUAUAUUCUUGUUUCUUCAACUUGUUUGUCAAUAACUUAUCUCGUUUUAGAAAUACUCUUUUAGAGCAUACAAUGUACUCUUGCGUAUCGAAUCAACUGAUUCCCCAUAUUCGAUCCCCCGAUAUAAACCCAGUUUGCAGAUGAUCAAGGUAUAUUGUUGAAUAAGUAAGGGAAGUCGUCACGUUUAAAAGUAGAAAAAUAUUGCUGUUUUUUAAUGAAUGUGUAUUUUUUCGUCAUUAUCGAGAACUUUUGGAAACAAACCUAAACUUCAUGUGCCAAAACUUUUCUUCUU